GAUGAACGCUGGCGGCGUGCCUAAUACAUGCAAGUCGAGCGAACGGACGAGAAGCUUGCUUUUCUGAUGUUAGCGGCGGACGGGUGAGUAACACGUGGAUAACCUACCUAUAAGACUGGGAUAACUUCGGGAAACCGGAGCUAAUACCGGAUAAUAUUUUGAGCCGCAUGGUUCAAAAGUGAAAGACGGUCUUGCUGUCACUUAUAGAUGGAUCCGCGCUGCAUUAGCUAGUUGGUAAGGUAACGGCUUACCAAGGCAACGAUGCAUAGCCGACCUGAGAGGGUGAUCGGCCACACUGGACCUGAGACACGGUCCAGACUCCUACGGGAGGCAGCAGUAGGGAAUCUUCCGCAAUGGGCGAAAGCCUGACGGAGCAACGCCGCGUGAGUGAUGAAGGUCUUCGGAUCGUAAAACUCUGUUAUUAGGGAAGAACAUAUGUGUAAGUAACUGUGCACAUCUUGACGGUACCUAAUCAGAAAGCCACGGCUACCUACGU
rnacentral:rRNA from 1 species